rnacentral:rRNA from 1 species
CGAGGAAUAUUGCGCAAUGGGCGAAAGCCUGACGCAGUAACGCCGCGUGGGGGAAGAAGACCUUCGGGUUGUAAACCUCUUUUUGUAGAGACGAGGGAGGACGGUAUCUAUAGAAUAAGUCUCGGCUAACUACGUGCCAGCAGCCGCGGUAAGACGUAGGAGGCGAGCGUUAUCCGGAAUUACUGGGCGUAAAGGGCGUGUAGGCGGCACGGUAAGUCAACCGUGAAAGCUCCCGGCUAAACUGGGAGAGGUCGGAUGAGACUGCCGAGCUAGAGGGUCGUAGAGGGGUGUGGAAUUCCGGGUGUAGUGGUGAAAUGCGUAGAGAUCCGGAGGAACACCAGAGGCGAAGGCGGCACCCUGGACGACACCAGACGCUGAGACGCGACAGCACGGGGAGCGAACGGGAUUAGAUACCCUCGUAGUCCCUGAGCGGGCUGGCAAGGCGCAU